AUGGACCCCACACACACAGGCCAGCACCCCCCCACAUUCCGCCCAGGGCGCUGGGCCUGGAACCACAGCGAGGCUCCAGCGGGCCCCCAGUGGCCUUUUCUUCUUGAAGACGCGUCCUGGGCCUGUCUACGUCGCCAAGGAAACUCGCGAUGGCGUAAAUGGGCCGUCAGAGGAGUUGCAGUUGAAGUUUGGCUGGAAGGGAACGUCAGAAGCGCAGCUCCUCCUGGCGGGGUCCUGCCCACCCUAUGGCGCUGCGGGGCCUGGGGUGGGACUGCGCCUUCUUCUCCGCCUCGGCAUCUCCCGUCUGUGGAGAGGCUGGGCUUGCUCUGGGCGUUCAUUCCGGGAAGACCCCCGACCCCUCCUCCUCGGUGGUGCUCCCACCCCACCCCCGCCGAGCCAAGCUCCCCCUCAAGCCCUGGCGCUGCUGCCCGCGCCCCACAACCACGUCCCUUCCAUGGUUCUGUGGAAGGUUUCUCCUUGAGUCUGGAGACAAGGCACCCUGCGGGGAGAGUGGCCACCUGCACCAGCUGUGAGAGGAGCUGCACCAGGGCCGAGCCCCGCAUCCUGGUCCUGUCUCUCCAUCCAGCAUCCCUGCAGGAGGCCCUGCCUACAGAAGGUGUGAGAAGCAGCCUCCCUGUGAAAGUGCUUGUGUGUCCCCGAGGGGAGAAGUUGGGACACUGGUUCCUGUCAUCAGGUGCAGCUCAGAGCAGGGCCCCAGGACGUGAGCUGCAGACAGGAGCACAGAGAGGGUGGGCGCUACUGGGGUGCACAGGCAGCUUGAGGAGGAUGGAGAUGGCAAACUUCCUGUCAUCAUGCUAGGGCUGUGUUUAGGGCCAUGUUUAGGGCCAGAGGACCAGCAGGUCCCCAAAGCCUCCAGUGCUUCCAGAGGCCAGUGGCAAGCAGUGUCCAGGGACCCCACAGCCACCACUGAGGCCCACCUGCUCAUUCCCCAGCUGGAUGCCUACUGGCUGCCACACUCCAGGUCUCCAGGCCCUGCCUGGGACGCGUGUUGGGCCUUCUCUCCCAAGCAGGAGUUAUCUGCGUGCCCUCGGCAUCCCACAGGUUUGCUUUGUCUCUGAGGAAAUAAUUAAGGAGUGUUAGUAUGAUAACAGAAAAUUGCUAAUUAUGGCAAAGAGCUAACACGGCGAUCCGGGAACUUGUGGAGCUCUAGUUAGUGAUGACAGAAGAGGAAAAUAUUUGACUGUUUUGUGCUGCACCCAGGUUCUCAGGAGGCGGCGAGAGAUCAGACUUGGCACCGUGCCACGCUCGGAGCCCUUGGUCCCAGAGAUGCUGCUUUCCCUGUGGGAGUUCGGAGCAGAGGCGGUCAGCUGGGAAGCUCAGGAUGGAGUGAGGAAGGAGGGCGACUUGGGGUGCUUGGGUUGCAGAGAUCUAACACCCCAAGAGGGACUGGCUGUGGCCUAUGCCCACCCCAAACUCACACAGUCUGUCAUGCUCACACACAUGUACACACAUUUCCACACUCAUGCAUACACAUGCCCAGGCUCACACACCACACUCACACGGCUUAGUCACACACAUUAACACACAUACACACUCAGAUUUACACAUCCACAUGCACAGUUAUGCACCACAGGCACACACACUCUCCAAAUUCACAGGCCAUCAUACACAUUUCACAAACACGCAAUCACUCCAUACACACUCUCACACAUGGACACACUGACACACUCUCAUUACACACAUUCACCUGUCCUCCUGCGCACACACACACAUACACACACACUUCAAGCCAAGUCAGAGCUCUCUUCUUGGUCCCACAAAGAAAAUGGUAACCUCAGCAUCUUGGUCUCCAUCAGAACUGGGUGCAGGAUCCCAUCCAAUCACAAGAGGGAAAAUGAGGAAACAGGUCCUCCAUGUCCUCAGACUCUGGAGAACAAAACUAUACAUGAGGCAGCUCUAAUGCUUUCCACACACAAACAGGAGGGAUCAAAACAGAGAAGCGUUUCCUCCCAAUGCGUGGCGCUGGCAGAGCCCAGUUCUGCCACCUGCCAAGCACCACCUUGCCCCUUGAUGAUGGAAAAUGGUUGCAUGUCUUGUUUCCUGGCCCCUAUCUCUGUCUUGGUACAGAGUAAGUACUUGAGCCUCCCUUCCAAAGACAGGAGUCCUGCUGAGCUGACCCGCCAACUGACGAAUGAAGCCCCGCCAUCUGCUGACCACAUUGCCCAAGACCCCUUGAGCCUCAAUUUCUGAAGAGGGUCUGCUCGGAAUUCCCUAUGUCGGAGCUCUGCCCAGCUGUCGGGACCCCUGUAGCCUCUGUCUGACAGCGGGGCUGGAUGACUGGCCACCUCUUGACUGUGCCCACACCUCUACUGCCAUGUUCUGCCUGGGGCACAGGAGUUCCUUCAGCCCUGGCAGAGGGGGCUACCCUUAGGAUCUGUCCCACCCCAAAGUUUGGAGUCCUCCCAGUCUACGUGGGUCAGCCCACAUGACCAUCAGCCUCCUAAAACAUGAAGGCCUUUCAUUUAGUGAGCUCGGGGAAGGAUAUGACCAGAGAAAUGGCCAGCAAGGCUGAGAUGAGGGAGCUGCUCUGGGACACAACCUAAAUUAGUUUUGAGCCCCCUGCAAAUCUUUGCUUCUUCCUUCCCUCAGUUAACUGAAAACCCAACAGCAAUUCAGCUCAAUUCAGAAGCUGAACACUGAGCCUGGCACUGUAUAAAUGCCUGGGACCAGCAGUGAGUAAAAGACUGAAAAACAUGGCCUUUGCCCUGUGGGGUUUGCAGUCUAUGGGGAAGAUGGAUAUUAAACAAAUGUGAAGGUACAAAAGACCUAUGUGCGUGGGGAGAGGUUAUUAGGGCUCUGUAGAAGCAUAUACAAAACGGAGAAAUCACCCUAGUCUAGUGGCUCGGGAAAGACCCUCCUAGGAAAAUGGCAUUUACUAUGAAACUCAAAGUGUGAAACAGUGCUUGGCCAGAGAAACAGGGUGUAUGGCUUAAAAAUGGUCACAAGACACGCAUGAAAGGUCACAAUUCUUUGCUCCUCCUUUCUCUAAAAGGUAGAGUUGAAUUCCUCUUCCCCGGACUCUGGGCUGGCCCUAGCCCUGCCCACAGAAUGUGGUGGAAGCAACUUUCCUGGUCUUCUGAGGUUAGGUCAUGAGACGCCUUGAGCUUCUGCCCAGACCUUUCAGUAAACAUGCCUGGGGGAAGCCAGAGGCCAAGUAAGGAGUACAGCUACUGAGACCACCAUGCUGUGAGGAAGCCCAAGCUAGCCUCAUGGAAAGGCAGCAUGGAGAGAGGGAUACCCAACCAGUCUCCUACUGCUCCUGCCACUCCAGCAGAACCCAGGCAAGCCAGUAAGGAAGGCUUUGAUGGUACCAACCCCAGCCAUCCUCUGACUGCAACUGCAGGAAAAGCCCUGAGUGGGAACCACCUACAUAAGCCCAGUCCACCACCAGAAUUGUAAGAAAUAAUAAGUUAUGCUUUAAACCACUGCAUUUUAGAAUGAUUUAUUCUACCACUAUAGAUAACUGGAUAAAGGAGUGGAAAAGAAUUCCAAACGGAGGAACAGCAUGUGCAAAGGCCAAAACUGCACCUGCACCCUCAGACCUCCUUCAGAGAAUAUGGCUUUUAAACCAUCUUAGAGCCAGCUCAAGACCAGCUGCAGUGUCUCACCCUGAGGCAUAGGACAGACAGAGAGAGGUCUUUUGUUUGUUUGCUUGUUUGUUUGUUCGAGAUGGAUUCUUGUCUUGUCACCCAGGCUGGAGUGCCUUAUUGUGAUCUUGGCUCACUGCAACCUCUGCCUCCCAGGUUCAAGCGAUUCUCCUGCCUCAGUCUCCUGAGUAGCUGGAACUACAGGCAUGUGCUACUAUGCCUGGCAAGUUUUUUUUGUUUGUUUGUUUGAUUGACUGAUUUUUUUAUUUUUAUUUUUAUUUUUUUGGUAUUUUUAGGAGAGACAGGGUUUCACCCUUCCUAAAAUGUGAAGGCCUUUCUUUUAGAGAGCUCAAGGAAGGCUAUGACCAGAGAAAUGAGCAGCAAGGCUGUGAUGAGGGAGCCACACUGGGAUACAGCCUAAAUCUGUUUUUGACCCCCCUGCAAAUCCUUCCUUCCCUCAGUUAACUGACAACCCAAUAGCAGUUCAGUUCAAGCUAGACUCAUGGAAAGGCAGCAGGGAGAGAAGGAUACCCAGCCAGUCCCCUGCUGUUCCUGCCACCCCAGCAGAGCCCAGGCAAGUGGGUAAGGAAGCCUUUGAUGGUUCCAACCCCAGCCACCAUCUGGCCGUAGCUGUGUGAGAAGCCCUGAGUAGGAACCACCUUUAUCCGUUUAUCUACAGUGGUGUAACAAAUCAUUCUAAAACUCAGUGGUUUAAAGCUAUAACUUAUUAUUAUUUCUCAUAAUUCUGUUGGUUGACUUGGCUUAUAUAGGUGUUUCCCACUCAGGGCUUUUUACACAGUUACAGUCAGAUGUUAGCCAGGCUGGUCUUGAACUCCUGACCUCAAAUGAUCUGCCUGCCUCAGCCUCCCAAAGUGUUGGGAUUACAGGCGUGACCCACCCUGCCUGACCCCGAGAUAGUUUUUUACUCCAUCCACAGAGGGACCAGGGAGAGGAGUGAUUCAUCAGCCUUUUGAAACCAUAUUUAAGUUAGCUUGGAGAUCGGUGCAUUAAACUUCUCCCGGGGAGAGGCUCUAUCAGAUUUUAAAAAGCGCCUGAGAACACUCGAGGAACCAGAGAUUCACUAUCGUGUUUUCUAAGACAGCCUUAAUUAUGCUGGGGAACUAAGACAUGCACCUAGCUGGGUACAAUGCAGGUUCCCCAAAAGAAGAAAGGUCAUCAGAUCUGAGUUAAGAAAUAGAGAUUUCCUACUUACUCUAUGUUGAUUUAGUUCAGAAAAACAAUGUAGAUUGCUCAAAAAAAGAACCAAAGUCCUAAGAUUUAAGAAAUAGAGAUUAUCUACUUAUUCUAUGUUGAUUUAAUUGAGAAAAAUAAACAUUUCCUUUUUGAGGUCUAAGAGUGUGUGGGGCUGGAUAACAUUUGGUAAGACUGUGAAUAAGAGAACCGAAAACAGAAGUCCAGAAAGAGCUGAC
ensembl:lncRNA